GCUUGGCAUGGUGGCAUGUUCCUGUAGUCCCAGCUACUCAGUAGGCUGAGGAAGGAGGAUCACUUGAGUUCAGGAGUUCUGGGUUGUAGUGCACUAUGCCAAUUGGGCAUCCACACUAAGUUCAGCUUCAAUAUGGUGACUUCGUGGGAGAAGAGGACCAUCAGGUUGCCUAAGGAGGGGUGAACUGACCCAGGUCAGAAACAGAGCAGGUCAAAACUCCCAUUCUGAUUAGUAGUGGGAUCAUGCCUGUGAAUAGCCACUGCACUCCAACUUGGGAAACAUAGUGAGACCUGGUUUUCU
rnacentral:SRP_RNA from 10 species